GGAUGAACGCUGGCGGCGUGCCUAAUACAUGCAAGUAGAACGCUGAAGCUUGGUGCUUGCACCGAGCGGAUGAGUUGCGAACGGGUGAGUAACGCGUAGGUAACCUGCCUGGUAGCGGGGGAUAACUAUUGGAAACGAUAGCUAAUACCGCAUAACAGUAGAUGUUGCAUGACAUUUACUUGAAAGGGGCAAUUGCUCCACUACCAGAUGGACCUGCGUUGUAUUAGCUAGUUGGUGAGGUAACGGCUCACCAAGGCGACGAUACAUAGCCGACCUGAGAGGGUGAUCGGCCACACUGGGACUGAGACACGGCCCAGACUCCUACGGGAGGCAGCAGUAGGGAAUCUUCGGCAAUGGACGGAAGUCUGACCGAGCAACGCCGCGUGAGUGAAGAAGGUUUUCGGAUCGUAAAGCUCUGUUGUAAGAGAAGAACGAGUGUGAGAGUGGAAAGUUCACACUGUGACGGUAUCUUACCAGAAAGGGACGGCUAACUACGU
rnacentral:rRNA from 1 species